rnacentral:rRNA from 1 species
AACGAACGCUGGCGGCAGGCCUAACACAUGCAAGUCGAGCGAGGACUUCGGUCCUAGCGGCGGACGGGUGAGUAACGCGUGGGAACGUGCCCUUUGCUUCGGAAUAGCUCUGGGAAACUGGGAGUAAUACCGGAUGAGCCCUUUGGGGGAAAGAUUUAUCGGCGAAGGAUCGGCCCGCGUUGGAUUAGGUAGUUGGUGGGGUAAUGGCCUACCAAGCCGACGAUCCAUAGCUGGUUUGAGAGGAUGAUCAGCCACACUGGGACUGAGACACGGCCCAGACUCCUACGGGAGGCAGCAAUGGGGAAUCUUAGACAAUGGGGGAAACCCUGAUCUAGCCAGGCCGCGUGAGCGAUGAAGUCAUUAGGGUUGUAAAGCGCUUUCAGCUGGGAAGAUAAUGACGGUACCAGCAGAAGAAGCCCCGGCUAACUCCGUG